AACGAACGCUGGCGGCAUGCCUAACACAUGCAAGUCGAACGAGACCUUCGUGUCUAGUGGCUCACGGGUGCGUAACGCGUGGGAACCUGCCCUUAGGUUCGGAAUAACUCCCCGAAAGGGGUGCUAAUACCGGAUAAUUUCUUCGGACCAAAGAUUUAUCGCCUUUGGAUGGGCCCGCGUUGGAUUAGCUAGUUGGUAGGGUAAAAGCCUACCAAGGCGACGAUCCAUAGCUGGUCUGAGAGGAUGAUCAGCCACACUGGGACUGAGACACGGCCCAGACUCCUACGGGAGGCAGCAGUGGGGAAUAUUGGACAAUGGGCGAAAGCCUGAUCCAGCAAUGCCGCGUGAGUGAUGAAGGCCUUAGGGUUGUAAAGCUCUUUUACCCGGGAUGAUAAUGACAGUACCGGGAGAAUAAGCUCCGGCUAACUCCGUG
rnacentral:rRNA from 1 species